AAAUGAUGUUUUUGAAAACUUGUCUAGCGUCAUGUCUGCCUUUGACUGUAUUGCUACAAGUAUCUUGAUAGAAAAGGCAGCGCCCAUUCGCUAUGAUUGAAUGUGCCAAGACACAUAAUUUACCAGGUAUAAAAUGCAGUCUUCGAUCCACCCAGUACUCUGCGCAUCUGGAUUUCUCCCACUGAGUUGCCUGAGUCCCACCUCUCAUGAGCAGAAGCUCGACAGUCAGACAAGGCUCAAGCAGUUUGUAUGCCCCCAUCAAGAGAGCCCUUUCGGGCUCUCGCCUCUCUGGGACUUUAUCAAUUUUAACCUUGAUAACCACAUCAACCUCUACAUUGAGACUUGUGAAAUAAGAGUAUAGAACAACAUAUAGCUCAUUGGGGCUGAAGAUUGUCCUAGUGGGAAAACUAAAGGUGGAGUUUACAUUUUGGGGUUCUUUCUCAUGGAUCAAAUCUCCCCUUGUUUGGUCUGCCUUUGAUUACACUCUCUCUCUCCCUCUCUCUCUCUCUCUCUCUCUCUCUCUCUCUCUCUCUCUCUCUAUCUCUGAUACUUUCAAACAGUUGUUUUCAAUAUUCUUUGGGAAUGUUAGUACAGUAUAAAAUGGUCUGUCACUACAGAGACUCAGAACCUCUUUAUAGAAUACGAAUGAGUUAUAAAAUCUUACCUCUUAGCUUUCAAGAACCUCCAGAAAUAUUUUUUUGUGAUGGUUAAUUUUAUGUGUCAACUUGAAUAAGCCAUGGGAUAACAGAGGACUGGCUGUCUCCGUGAGGAUAUUUCUGGAAGAGACUAGCAGUUGAGUCAGUGGGGUAAAUAUCAUCAUGGGCAACAUGACCAGGUAACGUCCAGGCCACCGAGGCCCAAGUAGAACAAAAAGCUAAAAGGAAACCAUGUUUGCACUUUCUGUUUCACCUGGGACAUCUGUCUUUUAUUGCCAUGAGAGUCAGUGUUGUGGAUUCUGAGGCUUCAGGACAAGGAUUUAUCAAGAUGACUCCUUGGGUUCUCAGGCCUUUGGAUUUGGCCCAGAACCAGACCAGGAGUUCCCCUGGGCUUUUAGCAUUGCACAUGUUGUUGGCCUUUUCCACCGAUCCCUUACAAUAAAUCUCUAAGAUCCU